rnacentral:rRNA from 1 species
UACGUAGGGUGCAAGCGUUAAUCGGAAUUACUGGGCGUAAAGGGCGCGUAGGCGGGCUGGCAAGUCGGUCGUGAAAUCCUUCGGCUCAACCGAAGAACGUCGAUCGAUACUGCUGUUCUUGAGGGUUGCAGAGGAGACUGGAAUUCCCGGUGUAGCGGUGAAAUGUGUAGAGAUCGGGAGGAACACCGGUGGCGAAGGCGGGUCUCUGGGCAAUUCCUGACGCUGAGGCGCGAAGGCGUGGGGAGCGAACGGG